AUAUAUAUAUAUAUAUAUAUAUAUGUGUGUGUGUGUGUGUGUGUGUGUGUGUGUAAACAGAAAGGUCUCGUGGAAGGGGAAACUCAGCUGCGUUAAACCUUCUGGUACCUUGUAGGGUCGUGAAGAUAGAAUGCUGUUUUUGAAUUUUACUAAUAAUUUUAUCGCUUUCUUCUCUCAAGAUUUGAUGUAGAGGCCCACGCGCCUCCUUGUUUCGUAGUGGUGUGAUUCGAUAAAAUUCACAGUUUUUGACUUGGCAGGAGAUCUGAGCUGAAAUGACGAGAAUGCUACUGACCUUGCCGGAGAUUGACUUCGGUGUCGGAGAACUGGCGGCGAACUGGUGGGAUGAGAUCAAUGAGUCGGUCAAAUGGCAGGACGGAAUAUUUUUCAGUCUCUGCGGGGCAUACGCUCUCGUUUCUGCAGUUGCCCUCGUUAGUCACUCAAUUGACUAUUUCACCGCAAUCAAAUAUAUACAUAUGUUGUUUUAGGUGUAUGCAAAUUCAUUAUUGAUACUGUACGUGUUGUACCUUUAAAAUGUUAUUUUCUUGAUAAAUCUAUAAUUUUCUGAAAUUUCUAUAGAUGAAAAAAUUGGAGAUUGUUUCUUAGACGUGAUUAUCGAGUAGCGAGUUCAAUAAUUGUUAUUGUUAGUGACAUUUUUGGGUGACGGAGAACGUGGUGCAUUGGAAUUUGAUUGAAAAUUUUAACUUCUUGAAUGCUUUUCGGAUAGAAUCAUCGGAAAGGGAGUUGAGCUCUUACCUACCAUUACUUGAGUUAAUCUAUAAUAUACAGCAGUUGGGUUACUUAGCAGCAUGAAGAUUUAUCUUCAACUAAUGCAGUAUAAGUUGAAAUGAAAAGGAUAUAUAUAUAUAUAUAUGUUUGGCAAAGCUUUUAAGUACUUAUAAGCUAGUCAAACAUCAUUUUUAACGACACAUUCCAUCGGACCCACAACUUUUAUCUACUUUUUAACCACACAUUCUUUGUGAUCCACAGGCUUAUAAUCACUUACAAGCAUGCACUUAAUAGCAAUAUGAAAUCGUUUGAUUUUUGACGGCUUCCAUUUAGUUAAGCAAAGAAGAAAAAGGAAUGUGAAGAACCCUGAUCCGGCUAAUCAUGAUGAGUUAUUAUUUGUCAUACAUUUUGUCAUGUCCAAUAAUCUUAAUAAUUGCAGAAGUAUUUGCUUUAUUAUUUUAAGAUAUUUAGUUAGGUUCAUACCCUCCAUCAGUAAACUAGUCAUAAAGAUGAAGAAAACUUCAAACUUUGUUAUUAAUUCUUUUGCGAUUUCGAAUUUAUUUUGCUUCAGCUUAAAUCUUCUUCAUAUUUUAUUUCAGUAUCUUGGCGUUGUUCAGUUAUGAGGACUAUUACAUAUCAGCCUUUAAGCUCAUUAUGGCAUUUAUAUGUGCAGAUUCAACUAAUAAGAAUUGAAGUAAGGGUACCUGAGUAUGGAUGGACUACUCAAAAGGUUUUCCACCUCAUGAACUUUAUUGUGAAUGGAGGUAAAAAUCGAAGAAUGACUUGGCUAUCUUAUACUUGUGUUCCUAUUCAUUAGUUAAUUAUACAGCUACUAAUUUCAGUGCGUGCUGUGGUGCUUGGAUUUCAUAAACAAGUUUUUCUUUUGCACCCCAAGGUAAGUUUCUCCAUGAAAACUUCUAUGCUUGAUGGUGGCCAGUAACCCUCUGCUCCUUUUAUUUCCUCCUAACUGUUCUUUUUGAUUGAAGCUUCUUAGUAGGUUAAAAAAUUUGUAUUUUACAACUUAAAAUUUAUGUGAUAGUAAUAUCUAUCUCUCCUUCACCUUGAUACUUAACUGAGAUGCAUUUUAUAAUUUUUCUGUUUACACUUGGUUUAUUUUGUAUGUAGUUUUUUUUGCCCUAUCCUUGCUAGGGCCUUGUGUUCUAUAUGUACAAGCAUUUUUCAUGAAACAUGCAUUUAUUUGAUGAUACUAUGACAAACUACAUUUUUAAAUAUUAUUUUGUUUCCUCUGGACUGUAUUAGGGGUUUGAUCAAUCAAGCUCUGAAGUUCUUUGACGGUUAUACCUUAAAUUUUCGUAUUGGCCCUACUCCCGGUUUCCAUCGCAUCUAGGUUUCUACUUAAAAGGAAUUUCUCAUAAAACUAUAAUGGUUUAUGUAACGCAGGCUUAUGAUAACUAACAAAAUAUUUUCGCUUUCACUUAGAAGAAUGGUAGAUGAAAUUCAUGAUAUGUUUCUUGGUUAUUACUGUUGGUAGUGACCCAAGAUAUAUUUCCCUGUUUGGGGAUUGCAGAUCUGCGGAGGGAACUCAUAACACUUAAAAAUCACAUUAUCAUUUAUGUGAAAAUCGUUUCAUUAAAAUUCAGAUCACAAGCAUAUAUAUGCUAGCUGAAUUUCUUUUCUAUUUUUUUCCUGAACCAGCGUAUGGGUUGCAUGGGUGCACGCACAAUCUGGAUAACUGAAUAAUUAUUGUGAGUCUGCACUAUAGUUAUUUGGCGAUGAAGUGGGUUGCACGAAUUUAAACUGUUUCCAUGACAGAUAUUUGCAUAUUUAUCAUCACAUGGCCACUUAUCAUGCUUAGUCAUUCACUUGAAGAAACUCCACUCCAUUUUGUAUCAGGCACUAACUUUGAUACUCUUGGAUCUUCCUGGGCUACUGUUUUUCUCAACAUAUACACUUCUUGUUCUUUUUUGGGCAGAGAUAUAUCACCAGGUAAGUAGAGAGUCAUCCUAAAUUAUCCACCAACUGAAUGAGUGCUUGUGAAUCCUUUGACACUGAUUUAUUUAUUUAUUUUUUUGUCCUGAAAUAAUAUCUUGACAAAGUGAAGUAUACUCACUUGUGAAUGCAGUUAAGUAAAUGAGGAAUCUCUAACCCUUUAUCCGGAUUAUUGGCAGGCUAGAAGUUUGCCGACUGAUAAACUGAGGAUUUUCUAUAUUUCUGUCAAUGUUGCAAUAUACUUCAUACAGGUGCAUUGCACUUGUACUGCAACCUCACUUAGUAGUACUAUUUGAUUAGUUAACAUUAUAUAUAUACACGCAUAUAUAUGCAAUUUAGAGUUAUAUUUAUUGUCAAUGUUGUAAAAAUUCACAUAAUCUAUUCUGACCUGAAUAGUUGUUACAAAUGCCUUUAUGAUAUAAAUUCAACUCCCUGAAUCUUGUGUCAUGUUGCUUCUAUACCUAAGAUAUAUUGCAUCAUUUUUAUUCUUUCAACUAUUCCACCUUUGUCCUGGGAUAUCAGUUAGUCAGAAUUUAAACCUUCUCAUCUAUUUCCUCUUGUCAGUGAAGAAGAGGACUGCAAAUAAUCCUGGCAAAAAGUUUUAAUAUAGUUAGAUUACUUGGUCCAGUAGGAGCGGUUUCAAGUUAAAUUUCUUACACAUCUUUUAUGCUGGGGACAGAAUACGAAUAUUAUGAUUUAAGAUGCCAACCUUUCUUUCCCUUCCUUGCUUUAAGAUGAAGGCUGUCUGGCUAAACGAAGUGCAAAUCAUUACUCUUCGUGUACUGGUGAGCGUGACAAAAUUCCCUCACGAAAUAGCUAUAACUAAGAAAAUUGUCAUAUGCUGGAUGUCUUGGGGGGUAGAUACUCACGUCUGCUGAAGGACUAUAAGUUUGUUAAGUCAUGUUUCAGUUGGAGAAAUGAUGGGCAUGUGCUCGGGGAGAAUUCUAAGUGGAAAGGCCGAAAGGUUAGACUAGAUGUCUGGUUCAGCGAGAAUUGAGAACUGUAGAAAAAUGGAAAAAAAGAGAUGAAGGGAACCUAGCAAUUGUAAAGGCAUCUUCUGCAUCACAUCCAGGAGAGGAUGCAUCAUGCAUCUAUGGACAAAUCUGAAAUCUUAUGUCAUUCCAUCAUAAACGAUUUAAUGAAAUCAUAUCUGUAGAAGACAAACUUUAGUGACCAAGUGUUGUGGUGUCUCACAAUAUUCAAGAUCUCUAUUCACCUGAGAUUGGACCUCUAUCCGAUUUUACAUAACACAUGAUACAAGUUAAUGACAGCCUGAUACUGCAGCAUCUAUUCAAAACUUUCUACUGUCCUAAUCAUGGAAUACGAUAACAAAUUUAACCAGCUCUCUCUUACUUACUAAUAGACAACAAAUCAACAAUGUUGUACAUCUUACUAGUAGAUAAAUGAAAUCAUGAGGACUUGAAGAUACUUGAAAAAAGACACAAAAGACUGGACAAGUGACCAAAAAAUUAGAUAAAUGAAAUCACGAGAAGGACUUACGAUACUUGAAAAAGACACAAGGACUGGACAAGUGACCAGAUAAUUCCCAAACUAGCUUCUUUAAUUUUAUUUUAUUCUACUAUGUCCUGCAUCAGUUGUCAUAUCUGUCACGUGGAAAUUAAAAUUUUGCUUUUGAUAAAUGAUCCUAUAAGUAAAGAGGUAUUGAAAUCAGGUCUGUAUCUGGGUGUACACGUGGAUAGAUGACAGCAGUGCCGUGGAAUUCAUUGGAAAGAUUUUUAUGGCAGGUUGAUAUCAUCCUAGUAAUUUCUAUUUUCUACUUUUUAAAUUCAUUCUUGCUUUUCUUUUUCUUUUUCUUUUUAAUUUUUUCUUUUAUUUAUUUAUUUAUUUUUGCCGGAAUCAUUUAUGUGCAAAAUAUAUAUGGUUUCUCAUCUCUUUUGAUCUCUGCAGUGGUAUCAUUUGUCGCAGCAUUAGGUUUCUUGCUGUAUGGAGGAAGGUGAGUAUUUGAAAACUUUCAAAUCACUGCUGUUAUGGUCCAUAGCAAAUUAAUCCUUCCCAAUUUAUUUGUUGAGGUUUUGAAUUCGAAUUUUCUGUUACUUCAACAGUUGUCAAUUUCGUCUCUUUUCUUAUUCCAGGUUAUUUUUCAUGCUGAGACGCUUUCCCAUCGAGUCCAAAGGGAGGAGAAAGAAACUUCAUGAGGUUAUGCCUUCUAAUUUUAUUUGACAUCAGAAAGAGUUGCAUACUCUUUAUACUAUGAGCAUGUUUGGCAAAACUUUUACUAGAUUAUAAGAUGUGCUAUGAAAUUGUGGAUAAUGAGUGGGUAUAAGUUGCGAGUUCCAAGGAAAGUGGGGAUAAAAAUAGAUCUUGGCUAACUUGUAAGCAAAUUUAAGCUUUGCCAAACAUGUGCUCUGUUGCAUUAUUUUUGUUUCAUUAAAAAGCAUGUUGGGAGUUAGUAUAAUCAUUUCAAAUAGAUAGAUGGUGGGUAAGUGGGUAGUAUUUGUGGGUCCAACAGUAUGUUUGGAUACAAAGAUGUUUGAUCAAUUAUAAACAAACUAUAAACAGCUGCCAAACAUAUGCUUUGUUUACUUUUUGAUAAGUCAAUAAAUUAUUGAUAAGAAAAAUGCAUUACACAAUAUCCAAACGAUAUAUAAAGUUUCUCUGACAAAACCAUCCAGAUUGUCUUAUGGCCUCUCUGGCUGUGGACCAAACAACGUUCACCUAAUAAUAAUUUAUCGCUCAAUGUGUAUGCAUUGAUAGUGUGUUGCAUAAUUACAAGUCUACAUCACUGGAAAAUCAGUCAAUAUUGAUACCUCUUAAAAUUCAUUCAGAUGAUUUGACUCGCUUAAUUUCAGCAUAUUUGAUUAGCAGGUCUCUUCAACGACACAAUCACAAAUUUCUAUACCCUAAAAGACUUGGGAUUGAAAUUUUUAUCGUUAUGUAAAAUGAUAGAAGUAAUACCACACCACACAUGCAUCACAUUUAAUUAGCUUACGUUUCAAAUCAAAUAGAAAACAGUUUUUUAUUUGCCUGUUUAGCGUUGGUCACUAGGUCUCAAUGGGAAAAUUUUUCCCUACAUAUCGACUCUGAUUAGCUUGUCAAUCAGAAGAUAAUACAUGGCAAACUAAAACACUUACAAUACUGGUCCAGAUACACAAUUUGCAUAUCUAUUUAGGAUACUACUAUUUUUUCCAAAUCUGGUGAUGGCUGUUGGGAGGUAAUAUUGUCUAUCAGCUGAUGUUGCUAUUCUCCAGUUGUUUAUUAGCUUAGUAAUUAUUUAAAGUAGCCUCAUGAUAUUAAUCCACAUGCUUUUCAUUUGUGUAACUUGUUCUCACUUUCAAUGUCUAUCCUUCUCAUUCUUUCUAGUGCUCAAUGAGAAAUGAUUGGAUUUUGUUUUUGCAGGUUGGAUUUGUGACGGCUAUAUGCUUCACUUGUUUUCUUAUAAGAUGCUUUGUGGUAUGUGGUUUGAAAUGCCUCUCACUUGGUUAUUUGACGUAGUAGAAGUGCUUGCUCUGUUGAAAGAAUCUGAUUUUUCUUGUCUUUAUGGAUGCUCGCAUUGGUCUCACUAACAAACUCAGUGUUUCUGCAUGUGAAGAAGAGCCCGCUAACAGAUAUUCUUUCUGAAACCAAAGUUUGCAAAAAUAGCACUCAUGACUUGGUGGUGGUUUAAUUGUUGUGUUUUUUUUUAUCUUCCAGGGGGAGUAGUCCAAUAAGUUAAAAGAGUGCCCAAUGAAAAUCUCUCUCGGAAAUCUUUAAAAUAUUCUGGCAACAGUACUUGUUUCAGACUUUCAGGCAUACUUAACUUCCCAUCAUUUCUUUAAUUAUCCGUGGGAAGCAUCCCACAGUUUUUGCUUAUUAUUGAUUUAUCCCCAUAUAACACGCAUUGUUCUGUCGCUAUUUCCGAGUGUCCUAAUUAUUUAUUGACUGCACAUAGAAUUAACAUGUGUCAAAUUUUAAUAACAAACAUUUUUAUUUUUAUUUUUGGGUGGAGAUUGUCCAUUAUCUACUUGUACAUCUAGGGUUCAAUUUGUAUCAUGGCUACUAUAGAACUUGAACAAUUUUGGCAAUGAAAAAAAUUGAUUCAUAGGGAGAAAACGAGGCAAAUUUUGAUUAAGAAAUUUAUUAGAAAAAUUAAGAACAAAACAAAUAGCACACAUCCAGAAGCCAUAUUGAGUGCUUUCUGGCAUGUUUUUUUCUCACUUUUGACUGCCUGGAGCUUCUUAGGAUUUUGGCACUAGGCAGAGUUCAGUAUACCAAGCUAAAUACAACUAUGCAUGAGAUGAUGUUUAUUAUUUAUUGAAUUUAUUGGAGUACAGCGUAAAUGUUGCUUUGUGAGGUGUAGGACGUGGGAGUUUAGUGUAUAUUUUCUUAAUUACAAGGGAAUUGCGAGGGAAAGGAUUUGUAGGCCAAUAUGUACCGAUUUCUUCACCUGACAUAAGUCCGCAAACGUGGUUGCUGUCAUUUUAAGUUCUUUACUCAGAAUUCUCAUGCAUUAGUCUUGUGUGAAUAAAUUUCCCAGACAUCUACAGACGUGGAAAAGCAUAAAGCAAUCCUAAGUUGGAAAAUUGGAUUUACUUUUUAGAAUUCUGUAGCAUAUCUUAGCCUGUGCUUGGCUCAUUUUUAUAAACAUUUAAACUACUUUUUAUCCACACAUUUUGUGGGAUCCACAAGUAUUGUCCCAUUUAUCCACAACUCAUUUUUGUCUAUUUAUAACCAAAACUGUUUAUAAACUUUUUCCAAACAUGCUUUUAGUUUCCUGUGUGAUAUACUUCUCUUUGUACUACAUUCUUAGAUGCACUCUUUAUUGAUUUUAUGAAGCCUAUAUUUUGCAACAUUCUGCAGGUUGGGCUAUCUGCUUUCGACGCAGAUGCAUCUCUUGAAGUAUUGGACCAUCCAAUUUUGAAUCUCAUCUAUUACAUGGUAAACUGCUUUUAUCAAGUUUGCCAACCUUUUCUUCCCUAGUUUUGUGUUCACACACAGCUUAUGCAAAAACAGCUGGUCGAGAUUCUUCCUUCAGCACUUGUGUUGUUCAUACUGCGCAAGCUACCUCCCAAAAGAGUAUCAGCUCAAUACCAUCCCAUCCGCUAGCCAUGGAUCGUUUUUGUUGGCAGUGGUAUUGAGUUGGGUUCCCAAGGUUCCAGUUUAGAGAUUAGUGACCUUGAAGCGAUUGAAGUGGAGCCUGGAAUCCAGAUGUCUUAUUUUUCUGGAGUGGCUUGUCCUCAGAAGUUCUUUUUACCUGUAUGUAUAUGGAGCUCAAGCUGAGAGAGAUUCAGUUCUUGUUUUGAUUUUGUGGGUUGGAAAAAGUUCACAAUUUGCCAGCAUUUUAUGGAAGUUAGCACGUGAUGAAAUUAUUCAUCAUUGUAAUGUGGAGAUUUUGUUAGAUUGGAACUUUUUGAGUACUUGGUCGUUUAUAAAUAAUAUCCACCACCUGCAAGGUGAUUAGGUGGGUUGAAGUACAACCCAUUUGUUGUAAAGCUUUACGGUGCUUGGGGCCUCGGGAAAUAGUUACAUCAGCUCAAGUGAAAUUGUAUAGAUUCCUAUCAAUCCCAAGCCUGGGUCACAUCCAGGAUCACUGUAAUUUUGCGUUCCACUAGGGAAUUGUAAGCUAUAAUUUGGCAUGGCCAGAUGGUGUGAUGGCGGUAUGUCCACAUAUCUGAUCAAUUCUGCCGAAUAUCAAUCUCACUCCAACGUCCGCCUUAUGCAGAACUAACGUUUUUUAGGACUCUUAAACAAGAUAAGGCAUUCAAG
rnacentral:lncRNA from 1 species